GACCUUGGCAGAGACUCAACAGGAAACUGAACUCUAUUUGCAUAUCCUUUUAUACAUGGGAGAUUAAAAGCUUCAACCUUGAGUGAUCACAGUUUUUGAGAAUCAUGAGGAGGCAUUAAAGAAGAGGAGGAGUGUCCCAAGGGAGGUGAGCUGGAGGCGAUGCAAGGUAGCUGUGAGGCGGCUAGCCCUCCUCAGCAGGUGGAAGUUUCCUCAGAUCUCAGAGAGCUGCUUUCCAGCAUGGGGUUUGGCACAGAUGUUGCCUCCUGAUGCCUUCCAUCAGAACAUGUAUUUCUGGCAAGAGAGCAGCUCUGAUUGCCUGGCUUUUUCCCUGGUUUCCCUGGACCAGGUCCCUAUAAUUCUUUAAUGGAAGAAGCUAGAAGACUGGAAUGAGGGUAUUUCUCUCUGGUAUGCAUUUAGGGGGACUUGGCUUUCUUGGCCACAUACUAUACUAAAAACUACCCUGUGCAGACAGCAUAGGCAACAUGAGAAUGGACAAGUGUCACUCUUCACAGGGCAACUCAGAAGUGGACCAGGUCUGAUCCUGUGGAAGAGGCUCAUCAGUGGUCUUUUCGCUAUUGAGUGUGGCAUGCUGGCUGACGGCAACCUCGGGAGCCCUUGAACAUGCCUUCAGAGAAUGUCUUCAGCAUUUGAUGCACCC